rnacentral:ncRNA from 1 species
UUGAUUACUCGCUCAUCAGACCCCAGAAAAGGUGUUGGUUGAUAUAGACAGCAGGAUGGUGGCCAUGGAAGUCAGAAUCCGCUAAGGAGCAUGUAACAACUCACCUGCUGAAUCAACUAGCCCUGAAAAUGGAUGGCACUGGAGCGUCAG